rnacentral:rRNA from 1 species
CGCAGCCGCGGUAAUUCCAGCUCCAAUAGCGUAUAUUAAAGUUGUUGCAGUUAAAAAGCUCGUAGUUGAACUUCAGGCCUGGCUGGGCGGUCCGCCUCACGGCGUGUACUGUCUGGCUGGGUCUUACCUCUUGGUGAGCCGGCGUGGCCUUUAUUGGUUGCGUCGGGGAACCAGGACUUUUACCUUGAGAAAAUUAGAGUGUUCAAGGCAGGCCUACGCCUGAAUACAUUAGCAUGGAAUAAUAAAUAGGACGUGCGGUUCUAUUUUGUUGGUUUCUAGAGUCGCCAUAAUGAUUAAUAGGGAUAGUUGGGGGCAUUGGUAUUGAGUCGCUAGAGGUGAAAUUCUUGGAUUGACUCAAGAC